AGAGAGAGAGAGAGAGAGAGAGUUACAGAAUUAAAGAGAGAAAGAGAGCGAGAGAGAGAGAGAGAGGGAGAAAGGGGUUGUUAGAAUUCAGAUGCCUUGUGACCUUUUUUUUCCCAUAAAUUCUGAUUAUUUAACCUUAUGCCUCCUGAAUUCAACAUUAAUACUUAUUUUUUAAUUUUUAACCGUUAUCUCCUCUCUGAGUCCAGACUUAAAUAUUACAUGCAAGAAUACUAUGCAAACACACAUAUAAUAAGAAAUAUAAGAGAACUAUACACAUUCAUUCAAUCACUCUGACCGAUUUCAUGUCCGUAACAGAUACAUUAGAGAAAAUUUAGAACAUAUAAAACAUUUUUCCAUUGGAUAAAAUGCUAUAUUUUAUUAUUUUCCUAAUAGCAAAAGUAUCCAAUUAUUAUUCAAAAAGAUUAACACAUACACGUAGAAUUUUUACGAUUGCAAAUGAUACCGCGCAUUAUUACUAUAUAUUUAAUAUGUUUUCAAUCAUUUUUUAUUAUUUUUUUAUUUACUUAAAUCUCUAUAAAUGUUUUUGCGUCCCAAAAUCAAUCAAUCAGCAUAAAUAAAAAGUUACAAAUUUAUGGAUUAAGUGUACAACAUAAAUAAUGGACAAACUUUGGAUUAAAUGAUCUUUUGA